GAUGAACGCUGGCGGCGUGCCUAAUACAUGCAAGUCGAGCGAAGCGGGGACGGGCGAGUAACACGUGGAUAACCUCCUAUAAGACUGGGAUAACUUCGGGAAACCGGAGCUAAUCCGGAUACUCAUAGAUGGAUCCGCGGUGAAUUAGCUAGUUGGUAAGGUAACGGCUUACAAAGGCAACGGUGCAUAGCCGACCUGAGAGGGUGAUGGGCCACACUGGAACGAGGACACGGUCCAGCAUCCUACGGGAGGAAGCAGUAGGAAAUCUUCCGAAAGGGGCGAAAGCCUGACGGAGCAACGCCGCGUGGGUGAGGAAGUUUUUCGGUUCGUAAACCUCUGUUAUUAGGGAAGCGGUACCUAAUCAGAAAGCCACGGCUAACUACGUGCCAGCCGCCGCGGUAAUAC
rnacentral:rRNA from 1 species